rnacentral:rRNA from 1 species
AGAGUUUGAUCCUGGCUCAGGAUGAACGCUGGCGGCGUGCCUAAUACAUGCAAGUCGAGCGAACCACUUCGGUGGUGAGCGGCGAACGGGUGAGUAACACGUAGGUGAUCUGCCCAUCAGACGGGGACAACGAUUGGAAACGAUCGCUAAUACCGGAUAGGACGAAAGUUUAAAGGUGCUCCUGGCACCGCUGAUGGAUGAGCCUGCGGCGCAUUAGCUAGUUGGUAGGGUAAAGGCCUACCAAGGCGACGAUGCGUAGCCGACCUGAGAGGGUGAACGGCCACACUGGGACUGAGACACGGCCCAGACUCCUACGGGAGGCAGCAGUAGGGAAUCUUCGGCAAUGGGCGAAAGCCUGACCGAGCAACGCCGCGUGAAUGAUGAAGGCCUUCGGGUUGUAAAAUUCUGUUAUAAGGGAAGAACGACUUUAGUAGGAAAUGGCUAGAGUGUGACGGUACCUUAUGAGAAAGCCACGGCUAACUACGUGCCAGCAGCCGCGGUAAUACGUAGGUGGCGAGCGUUAUCCGGAAUUAUUGGGCGUAAAGAGCGCGCAGGUGGUUGAUUAAGUCUGAUGUGAAAGCCCACGGCUUAACCGUGGAGGGUCAUUGGAAACUGGUCAACUUGAGUGCAGAAGAGGGAAGUGGAAUUCCAUGUGUAGCGGUGAAAUGCGUAGAGAUAUGGAGGAACACCAGUGGCGAAAGCGGCUUCCUGGUCUGUAACUGACACUGAGGCGCGAAAGCGUGGGGAGCAAACAGGAUUAGAUACCCUGGUAGUCCACGCCGUAAACGAUGAGUGCUAAGUGUUGGGGGUCGAACCUCAGUGCUGAAGUUAACGCAUUAAGCACUCCGCCUGGGGAGUACGGUCGCAAGACUGAAACUCAAAGGAAUUGACGG